GACGAACGCUGGCGGCGUGCUUAACACAUGCAAGUCGAACGAAGUGGCGAACGGGUGAGUAACGCGUAAUCAACCUGCCCUUCAGAGGGGGACAACAGAUGGAAACGACUGCUAAUACCGCAUACUGAAGGAGGGGAUUGCGUCUGAUUAGCUAGGUGGAGGGGUAACGGCCCACCAAGGCGAUGAUCAGCAGCCGGGCUGGGGGGAUGGACGGCCACAUUGGGAAUGGGAAACGGCCCAGACUCCUAAGGGAAGCAGCAGUGGGGAAUCUUCCGCAAUGGACGAAAGUCUGGCGGAGCAACGCCGCGUGAGUGAUGACGGCCUUCGGGUUGUAAAGCUCUGUUAAUCGGGACGCGGUACCGGAAUAGAAAGCCACGGCUAACUACGUGCCAGCAGCCGCGGUAAUAC
rnacentral:rRNA from 1 species